AUACGUAGGGGGCGAGCGUUGUCCGGAAUGAUUGGGCGUAAAGGGCGCGUAGGCGGCCCGGUAAGUCUGGAGUGAAAGUCCUGUUUUUAAGAUGGGAAUUGCUUUGGAUACUGUCGGGCUUGAGUGCAGGAGAGGUAAGUGGAAUUCCCAGUGUAGCGGUGAAACGCGUAGAGAUUGGGAGGAACACCAGUGGCGAAGGCGACUUACUGGACUGUAACUGACGCUGAGGCGCGAAAGUGUGGGGAGCAAACAGGAUUAGAUACCCUGGUAGUCCACACUGUAAACGAUGAAUGCUAGGUGUAGGGGGUAUCGACCCCUUCUGUGCCGCAGUCAACACAAUAAGCAUUCCGCCUGGGGAGUACGGCCGCAAGGUUGAAACUCAAAUGAAUUGACGGGG
rnacentral:rRNA from 1 species